UCUUUUCGUAGAGAUCGACCAAAAGAUGGCAGCCAGCUGUGUUUGUCCUCAAGGUACCAUGUUGGGAAGGUAAAGAGAACUGGGAGCUCCAGGAUGUGGGCUCUCCAGUCUGCAGAUUCUAAGGUAAUGCCUUCUCUCUCCAGCAUCCCUAUGGGGAAUCAAGGACACAAUGCAUGUUGAGCACUUGCUAGUAUGUGCUGCUUACAAAGAGAAGCCUGAAGGAUACAGGACCCCAAUGGGACCCAGGCCCCCAGGACCAGCCUUGCAAACACAACAAUCAGAGUGGCCCCAGGCCACAGAAACCGACAUCCAAACUGGAAGUCUGUGGAGUCUGCAGGUCUGGAAAAACUGGAGGGCGACAACCAGGAAGCCAGCCCGUGACUGGACUCUCUUCUGGCCAUAUAUAGAACUAACAAUGUACGCCCUGGAAUCUUGGGAUUGGAGGAAAUCACAUGGGCCACUGAGUCCUCUCACCAGGUACAGUAAUCCCCCUACAGCGGCCCUGCCAAGUGGUCACCCAGACUCUGCUCCAAUUGCUCCAGUAAUGGAGAGCUCUGCAGGGAUCAAGGCAACUAGUUGGUUUUAAAAGCAGGAGCUAGAGUGUAUAGUGACCACCUACCAGGCUGAAGUCUUUCCAUACUCAAUAAAUGCUACAAAAGGCCAACA
rnacentral:lncRNA from 1 species